AACAGACAGCUACUAGCCAGUAGACGGGAGGCAACAAAUGAUCGCGUUUUAAUACAUUAUUUAUCACCUGUUCAAUUCAAACAUCUUUCUUGUGCAGCUCAUCAGUUCAGCAACACUGAAAGCCUCUUACUCACUCGCUGCUGUAUCAAUACAGACAACAAAGGUGUCCUGAUACUACCGAAGCAGUCACUGAUUACCUGAGAACUUCUUGGUUUUUGCCUUUAGUAUUCUGUUUGGAGCACUCUUUUUCUGGGUCAAGCCAUUUCAGUGGUGGAAACAACCUUCUUUCAUUCUCAAGCAUACACGGCAGCACUCUAUACGUUGAGAGGAUAUGGGUUUGAACACCGGCAGGUGUACGAACUCCCAACAUGCUGGGGAGAUGUAUUUGUCAUGUUGUUAACUGAGAUGUGUGUGACUUGGCUCUUGCAAAUGUUUCCUUUAGGGCUGAAAACUCUCCAAGACCCAGCUAAGGCUUCAUGUCCCUUUGCAAAGCUGUGCCCACCUGGCCAUUUUCAAAGUGCUGGAGGUUGGUCUGGGGCCAAGCAUCUCAGGUUUCUUAAAGGCCAGGGCUCUUUCUAUUUGCCAUGGUGGAUGGUGUGGAGUCAUUACUGUGCUAUAGUAGUCAUGACUGCCAUUUAUAAAGCUACCUGUCCUUAUCUGAGAAAAGAUCCUUUAUGCAUAUGCAAAUGUAUCUCCCUUUUCUUGGUUUGUAUACCUCUCCUUUGUGCUGUAUAGUAACCAUUGAGGGAUGUUCAGAAUCCAAACUUCGUCACACAUUAUUGCUCUAAGUAAUAAUGGAUUUGGAAUCUAAAUCUGGAGUUCACUGGUAGGAAUCAGUGAACCUUGUUCCUCUUAUGUACAUGUAACAAUGUCCCCUGUCAACAACUGUCAGUAGAAACACAUGUGGGGGAGAAUAGUAUUAAUUAUAUUCAAUUCCAUGUCAUAAAGGAGUGAUCCAUAUAAUCACCACCAUGUUUUGUACAUAUAAAAAUAUUUCCUGUAAAUAUACACAGGCAAGUGCAUUGCCAUUAUCCAGGAUCCAGGUGGGAAAAGAUAAAGUCAAGGACUUUAGUUUAUUCCAAGUGCAUAUUUUAGUUCUGGUAAAGGAGUUAAUACUUUCAGGGAUUUGUGACACAAUUAUAGAUCUAAUUACUUAAGUUCCUGGUACCAAGUAGGUUAUUUCUACCUGAUCUUCAAAGCCCAGACUCCCCAAGACAGAGACGUACAACCUUGGCCAAGUCAGUAUUAAGCAAAUGAUUUAACAUCUAAUGAGUUAAGAGGUUCCCUAAAAUUAUUUUCCAAUCCUGGUGUCCAGGAACCCAGGGAAGAAUCUAGUCAUGGGUGUGCAUUUAUUUAAUAGAGAUUGAAGAAAAUCACUUGGAAGCUAAGAGUGUUGGUAUUCUAAUAAAAGAAUAGAUUUAGCUUAUAAGAAAAAAAAUCUGGAUUUUUGGAGAAAUUGUUUUUCAUUUAAUCAGAAGCACAUGACAGAAAAAGGAAGCACAUUUGUAUAUAGUGGCAACUAUAUUUCUGAUAAUAAAUUUCAUGAAAUGUUUUCUGUACCAAUCAGAAUAGGCAGCUGAGAACCUUCCUCUCUGAAAAUAAGACAGUUAUUCAAUGAGUACAUUCUUAGGAAAGCUUUCUCACUUUCUUUCAUGAAAAUAUUAGAUUUUGGAAGUUUAAAAUAACUGUAUACCUGUGGAUAGCCUCGAUUCAUGUAACUACAUUCAGGUCAGAUCUUUUAUAAGAAUAGUUAUUGUUGAUAAAUAUAUGGUAUUUUCAAAAAGCAUUUUUAGAUAUCCAUUUAUGGAAGCUUUUUAGAGGAUUAAGUUCUUCCUUUGGUUCUUAGUUUCCUUUCUCAUGUGAGUAGCAGCAGAAGAAAGCAACCAGCCAUUUGAAUUAGCUUAUUACAAAAUGUGGAGUAUGUAUAAACUUUAAAUGAUAUAAUAUUUGGAUUAAUAAAACAGAAUAUAAACACUAUAGAACAGUCAAAAACUACUAUUCUUGAAGCCAGAAAAAAAUCAUUUGGAGACAUAUAACAUAUUAAAAAUAUGGGGACAUAUAACAUAUUAAAAAUGCAAUAGCAGAGAUUGAACUGAUUGACUCACAAUUCUAUAAUUUAUGGAAGAAAGAAAAACAUUAGAGGGUAAGUUUAAGCUGUUUUGAAGACACUUUCCCUUGGUUUUCUGAUAUGUUCUUUUCAAAUAUUCUGAAAAUUUAAGAAGUAUGUGUUUCAGGUACUUAUGGCUAAGUUUUGAUAUUUGAUUGGGUUAUUCCAUAUUUUCAUCUUUCCAAAAAGAGUUUAUGUUUUAACACUUUCAGGAUGUUAAAGAUGUCCUCAAAAUGGUUCAUUGGACAUGGUGAGUGUCAAUGAAUAUUUACUGUAUAAUGAGAUCUGAGGUUAACAACAAUAAAACUGCAAAUCAGAAUAGAAAUAUGUUUCCUAACUUUUCCAUGUAAACAAUAUUUCAAUGUGUAUAAAAGUGUUUAGUUCCUCAGUUUUGUGCUACAUAUGAUUUGAAGCAGUCUGACCCGGAUGGCACCAGAUUGAAUCAGUCUUCCCACUCCACGAGGGCUCCAUGUUUAUCAAGGUCUCUUCCUUCUAAAACUGGGAGCCCUGUUAGGAUUAGCAACAUGUUCUAAGAUGGGCCCAUAGGGUACUUGCCUCUGUGCCUUGCUAACCAAGCUUAGGAUUUGACAAUGGGCAUGAAAUGUUCAUAAAGAAUUGCUUUGAUGAUGCUUCACAAACAGAAAGAAGGUCUCUGGGGGAGGAAGGAAGGUUGGGGAGGGGCUGGAAUUUUAUCUUACCUUCUCAUGUGUUCCUAUUGGGGAAAGAAAAACCAGGAAAUCCCUUGAAGCUCUGAGAAUCAGACAAUACCAGGCUUCCAGCUGGACACUACAGAAGCCAAGUGCCACACCCCACUGCAGGUCUCAGUGGGGCCCCAGGACUUCACAUCUUUAACAAGUCUGAGUGGUGCUGAGGAUGUGGUUAUGGGGACUGUUCCCUUCCCAGGGUUAGGGCAACAACUAAAAGAGAAAGAUGCUGACAGUCCAUGGUUUGUUAGGCUAAAACAGGCCUGCCUGGAUCUCACACUCUUUUGCAUCUCUUCUCUGAACCUGGGGGCUUGACAUGAACUUCUGGAGAUGCCUGGCCACUCUGGGAUGAGGUAAGAGGCUCCAGAGUCAUCAUCACUUUGAAACUAUUUUGAGGAAGAUCCACCUCAGUGUCCCUAGAUUAUAGUCACUGAGGUAAGACACAACCUCGACAUUUCCUAGCCAGACAUCUUGGCAGAUGAUUUAACCUCCGUGCCCCUAAUUUCCUCAUCUACAAAUGGGAAGAACAAGAAUUAGCUGCUUCCUGGACUGUAGUCCAUGAACAUGGUAUGUGUAAAGUAGUGGCUCAUAGCAAGCAAGAGAAUUAGUCAGAAAAAAGGCAGUUCAGAGGGUACAAAUGAGGAGGUUACAAUGCAGGAACUACACACAGAAGAGUAUAAAAAUGUUCAGGUACUCAGAGAGGAAACUAAGCCUCUGGAGGUCAGAGAGAUCCACAGCUUGCAGGAGGACCACCCUGGAAAGAGCUACUGUAGUCAUAUAAGGGAUAAGCCACUGCCCAGGAUUCUGCAUCAGUGUGAGAUUGUGGUAAAAUAUAUAUAUGCUGGCAUCUCUUUCUUCCCCCUGCUGUUCUUCAAGGUCUCUGAUUAGCAAUAGCAGAAGGCAAGAGGACCAGCUACAGUGUGCAGGAGUCUGCCUCCCACAGGGCAGAGCAGAGAGAGAAACACAUCAAGGAUGGAGCAGUGGCAGGUGGGGGGUCUGGAACACAGUGCCGGAUAGGUGUGUAGUUGCUACUGGAUGAAGAUUUACACCAGUUUCUUGGAAAUUUCAAUUUAUGCUUGUGGUAUACUUUCAAUCUUAAAGGUAUUUCAUAUCUCAGGGGAUGUUUGCACCAACACUCUAAAACACCAUGUCAUUUGGAGUUCAAGUUACACGAGCACUCUAGUCAUUAUCAAAGUGUGGGAGAAUCUGUGAUGUGGCAGACUUGAAUACUUUCUCUCUGCCCAGUGCAGCAUUCCUGGAAGUGGCUUCUCCCUUAGAACAGAAAGCAAGUUCAGUCACUUGGCCCUGACUCGAUGAAAUUAAUGUUUGGUCUAUUGAUCAGGCAGGUGUUACCUGGGUGUGUCGGGUGGGGAAAGACACAUCUAGCACACUCAGAACAGCAAACAUUUGUGAUAUGUUGACUUUGUCUUAUUUAUAUCAUGCAGCAAUAAAUGUGUUUGUUGUUGCUAAGUCCCUAAGCCAUAUCCCUUUCAGAAGCUAUCAGACUGGCUGGGCCAAGAGCACAGAGGGAGACUCUUUUCCUGGAGUGGUGUAGAAAAGCCUGGAAGCCUGGCAUCUCUCUGAAAUGCUGUAUCAAAGGCCCAGCCCAGCACACAGGGCAGUGGGUAUACGAGGCCUGCCUCUGAGAAUCCUCCAAGGAGGCCUCGAGGAGCCAAGGCACACUUAAGCUUGUCUCCAAAGAACCCAAAACUCAUCCCAGACUUGCUUUGUCUGUUUAGCAAACUCACUGCACACCUCACCUGUCUUUGCGCCUGCCGUCUAGGAGGGUCUUUGAAAUUUAUUUUCUCCUUUUAGCCUGCUGUAUUUUUAAUGUCUGAGUGAAAGAACAAAGGAAGGCGAACACCAGACAAGAUCGUUUCAUUCCUCCAUGAGCUGCGGUGUAGCUCCGCUCAAGCUCAGCUAACAUCAAUGUUUUAAAAUUCCGUCUUUGCUAGAGAACCGGUGCUGGGGUAGUCAUCCACGCCAAAGUCAGGGCCCUGUUUCUGCCUUUCAUUUGGGGACAUAAAAGGCCCGUGCAUCAAUCAUUAACAAUCUAUUAACACUAGCAGCUCAGAGAGGUUUUCCUGGUAUGGUCAACCUCAUUGGAAGAAAUUCCUGCUGCCCAGCUGGCCGUCUGUCCGUGUGAUCCACCCAUACUGGCUGUUUUCAGCUUUGAAAGGGCUCACUGACUCCUCUUUCAUCUCUCCCUGAGUAAUAGAUACCUGGUAGGCUGGCUCUCCUCCUCCCCCACUGUCAGCUUCCCCACCUGCCUCCUCAGACUUCUGGCUUGAAGAACCGCUUGCGUGAACACUGACACUAUUGAUUGUGUGUAAGUGGCGUGCGGGGCUGCUAGACAUCUACCUGGAUAUGCAGGCAAGAGGAUAGGGCUGGUUCAUCUACAUGAGCAGAGCAGGGAGGGUCUUGGAAGUCUCUGCUUGGUGUUCCCGACUGUUGAAUUUAAUUGGUUUAAACCAGUCGGCAGGAAGAGGUCUAGCUCAUCAAUCAGAACCUGCUUUGGAAAAGGCUGAUGGAUUGGGUGCACAUCUGGAAGUUCUGCAAAACCUAGAGAGUUUUGGUCUAGACUUUCCUUUCCUCCCUCUGUGACAAAAUACACACCACACAAAUGUUACCAUUGUGACUACUUAAAGAUAGACUCAGAGACAUUGAAGCAGCUCCAUGGCAUUGCACCACACCCACCCACAGCUUUCAUGAAUCUUCCUAACUUAAAGACUCUCCAUGCAACCUUAGUCAGUAAAUCAGCCUGUCUCAGCCCCCAUUGUCCUUAAAAACCACUGUUUGACCUCUCUCUGAGUUUAACCCUCAGCUUUAUAUAUGUGAAGUCACACAGUGACUGGCUGUGACUGGCUCCUUUCAAUGCACAUGCCAGCAUUUUAUAAUAAAUAAUUCUAUAAUAAGUAAAAUAUUUAUAAUAUAUUUUAUUAUAAAAAACUAUUUAUAAUAAGCAAAUAGUAUUUAUUUAGUCAUUUAUUUACUUUACCACAGUCUGCAUGUCCCCUCACUUACCCAUGGAUGUCCUGUUGUCUCUAACUUUGGCCGAUUGCGAACGGUGUUAUUAUAAACACGUGUGCAGAGACUGCCCUCCAGAAUCUCUGCUCUUGAUUGUCUGGGUUAGAAACCCAGAGGUAGACCACCAGAGCACUUGUCAGUCCUGUGUUUAGAAUUUUCAGGCUCUGUCAUACUGCUUUCCAUACCAGUUAUCCUGUGCCUUACCUACACCCAGCACUACACGGGAGGUCCAAGUUUUGUAGGGAUUACUGAAGUGCCAGUGCUCUCCCCCCAAUGCUUUUUUCCCCUCCUCCUCAGCGGAGGGGAAGACCACAGGCAACUUAAUGGGAUAUUUAGCUGAACUCACCCCUCAGCUGCCUCUUGUAUGUGAUUGAUAUCUAGAAGCUCUGUGGCAUUUCUUUCAAAGUAGAGUCUCAUCCUGGUCCAGCUGGCCCCUCCCCAGUGUCCUCCAUGUUCCUUCUGCUGCAGGGUGCCCUGGCAUUUUCUUCCUUCAACAAUGAAAUGAGAUUCCCUGGGAGGUGUACAUGCCAUGUGGUGUGUCCGUUUGCCUAUUAUGGACAAGGGUUGCUUCUGCCUUCUAGAUAAUGUAAAUAACGUUGUUAACAAUGUAGGUUUACAAAUAUCUUCUCUGGUUCCUCUGGACCCGCUGGCAGGUGGGAAUGAAGUUUCUGUAUCUUCAGUGCUGACUUUGAUACUGAGUCAUCAAAUGACCUUCACCAGGAAGGAACCAAGAACCCAGUGAGAGGUGACUAGUAUGACGAACCCGUGCCAAAACCCAUACUUAGCUGCUGAAAGCUCCUUGCCGGGUUGCCUCUGAAGUUAAUGGCAGAGUCUUUGAAAAUGACCUUAGAAGCAAAUCAUAAGCAACCGAGGACAUGAAACUACCUCAAGUCCGUCUGUUGGAGUGCGAGCCACCUCCAAGCUUCCAUUCCCAUGUAAAACAGAAGAUAUGAUUUAUAAUUUAUAGCGCAUCGGUACAGCCCUGAUUGAAGCAAACCACUUUGAUGAAGAGUUGGUUUCAUGCUAGUGUCGUGGAACACCACUCCAAAUCAGAAAAUAUUUAGAACUCCAACUCCUCUGCUCUGACUUUGAAGUAAAGAGAUUUGUAUUUUAUGUGCUUCUCUGAACGAAAAAAAAAUAAAGAAAAAUGUGUGUACACUCCAACAUGCAUGUGGUAGGAAUAUGAAAACAUUUACAUGUGUAUCAGCACCAAAAUGUAAUUACUGCAUUAGGCACUGAAAAUAUUUAUAGACUCAUAUCUCAUGUGGAAGACCUGGUUCCAAUAAUUCUCAGAAAAUUGUGAAAUUCAGACUUUGUUUUCUUGGGACUAACUUAAUUUAUUUGAAAUUGACAACACAUGAAGGACAAAAAUCAAAGCCCGUCAACUUUCCACCACCCCAGCUAAUGACCUAUUAAAGUUGUGAGUAUAUACUGUGUCUCUAUUUGUAGGUGAACAUGUCAUGGGGAAAGAAGGAAUGAGGUACUUUUCUCAUCAUUGUAACAAAUAACUGGAAAGCAGCAACUUCAGGGAGAAAUUGAUUUGGGGGAUUCACAAUUUCAUGGUGGGGUGAGAGAGUUCCAUGGUGGUAAGAGGGUGAGUGAUUUGUUCACAUAUUGAUGAACCAGGAAGCAGCCAGAACAUGCAAGGAAACUGGGGGCCACAAGGCUCCCUGACCUAAGCAUCCCAUUCCCUUGAACCUGACUCCACCUCCUAAAGGUUCCCCAAACUUCAAAAACAGCAUCACCUAAGGGGUACAGAGUAUUCAAGCACAUGAGCUUGUAGGAUAUAGUCCACACUCAAGGCUAAGAGUUAGCCUCUGGCCUCCAUAGGCUAAAGGCCAUCUCAUAAUAUGUAAUAUAUUUAAUCUAACUUCAAAAGUCCCCAAAAUCUCAUAGCCAUGAGCCCCUGUGAGAUAACAAAAAAAAAUCACAGUCUCAUGGCACAGAGGAAACAUUUAUAUCCCAAUCAAGAGGAAUGGGGUACAGGGAGAAAAGUUCAGCCAAGACCAAACCCCAGCAGAGCAAAUACCAUUGCAACUCUUCAUUUAUAGCAUUUAGGUCUUCUGGUAGCAUAGUCUGGUCUCUAGUAGGCUUAGGUAUAGUUCUGUCUUGAAGCAGCUCCACGCAGUGUUGCCACCUUUUCUCAGCAGAAGUUCCAUGUUUGUGAUAUGUCCUGGUGUCUCCAUUGCAACUCAGGUUUCAUUUUCAGGGUUACAAGCAAGGACCUCUCAGGUUCUUUUGCAAAGGAUCUAACAUUGCUAUAUACUAUAGUGCUUGGUUUCACCAGCUUAUUUUCCGGAUCUUCAGUGUAAGGCUUCAUGACCCCAUAACUCCUGCAUUCUGCAUACCUACAAACCCAGCAAGCAGCAUCGAUGCUCUGCUCACCUCACUGAAGAUGUAGACACCUCUCACUUGGGCCAGUACUAUAGUGGCGUGCAACUGAAAACACAGUGGGAAAACACUGCCCCAGCUUCUGUGUUCCACGAGGACACAUGUGUGCUUGGGACUUUGUGAACAAAGGAAUGGCCAACUCAGAGCUGAAGAAUCAUUGUGGGAAGGUGAUGGGAUGGGGUGCAUUCGAGACAAUGCAACUGCAAAGAUCCUAUGACUCAAGCACUUAGGACGAGAGUCCUGGAAGGGUGGCCAUAGGAAGGACAUCAUACUGGGGUUCGAGAACAAAUGAGAACUAGAGAAAGGUACUGGCUUGAGAAGAAGGCAAUGACACAAGACUCAUUCUUACCUGAGAAUGGAAGGAAAAUUGGGGGAGAAGAACUGAGCGUGAAUUUCAAGACAGCCGACAGGAGCUUCUGCUUAAGAGCGAUGGAAUAGAGGAGUCGAUAGUGGUGGUGUUAGGACUGGAAGGGAAAACAUGCUCAUCCUCAGGACAUAGAUUUAAGAAGCUUUUUUUCUGGGGCUGGAGAUGUGGCUCUGUGCUUAAGAGCACUGGCUGCUCUUCCAGAGGACCCAGGUUCAAUUCUCAGGACCCACAGGGUAGCUCAAGACUGUCUGUAAUUCCAGGGGUUUUCCAAUACCCUCACACAGACAUACACACAGGCAAAACAGCAAUGAAUAUAACAUAAAAAUAUUAAAAAAAAAAAGCUUGUUUCUGACAGGUAUGCUCAUGUGACUUGUUUCAGCCAAUGAAUUGUGAGCAGAAGUGACAUGACCAUUCAGGAUAGAGGCUUUAAGGGGUGAUGGUGACUGGUUCUGCUAUUGGUCUAUCAUGUCAAAUUCUGGCUGUUUAUUACUCCUAGGUCUCUGGGUGGGAGAGCCCCAGAGCAGAGCCCAGAUGGCCUACUGGAUCCAGAACAUGAGGCAGAAUCAUCAGAAACCCUGUGAUGGGGCAAGUGUUUGCCUAGGCAUCAGAAUUAAGCCUGCCCUACAGAGACAAGAGGGGAAAGGAUGUAGGUAGGGAAGAAAGGAGAGGGAGGUAAUUCUCCAGACUAUCUGCCCAGAGCUUACCUCCAGCUCUCCAGUCCAGCUCAGCCUUGCUAGUGUGUCUCCAGCUCCCAAUUCCAACUGAUGCUUUUCAGUAUGACACGGAGGAAAGUGAGCAUGCCUUCUGCGAGUGUGACGCUGAAUGGCAGUGAAGUACUUGAGCGAAGAAACAGUCUCUGCAAGGGCUUCCUCCACAUUGUUAUUCUGCACAGAUGUCUGCACGCACUUGACAUAAGAAGAUUCAAUUAAACUGUCUGGCCACUGUUUCAUGAUACAACCACAGAGUUGUUCUAAAGGGUCAAGGCAUGAUGGGAAUAUUUAACUCCUGGUAGGAGCAGAGAGUAAUUGGAGCAAGCUGGAAGAUGUUUCAGCAUCUGAAGGAUGUGGUGAUCAUUUAGCAGAGGGGCUUAUGGGCAAGACUGGCCACAGGGGAAUAAUGACAUAAUGCACUUGUCAAAGGAGCCUAGGAGCAUUGCACCCUCGACAAGGACAGAGGGAAAAGAUCAGAAACCCCAGUUUAACUGGGCAUGCACACCUUUAAUACCAGCACUUGGGAGGCAGAGGCAGAUGGAUCUCUGAGUUCAAGGCUGACCUGGUCUACAGAGUGAGUUCCAGGACAUUCAGGGCUACACAGAGAAAUCCUGUCUCAAUGCCCCUCCCUCCAACAAAAAGUGUUGUAGGUCCUCGAAGUUGAGAGCUCUCUGACUCAGCCUUAUUAUGCCCUACUUCCUGUUUUUGCUGGAUUAUUCUACUCAAUCAAUGCUGGAUGCCCUGAUUACCAGAAUGAAGGUGAAAAAAUUAAUAUAGAGAAGGCGAAGGCUUGCUUUAGGUGUCAGGGACAAGGAUGAUAGGCAAAUGUCCUCAGGUGACAGGUAAGUAUGCCAGACCUAAGGACCUACCUACAACUGGAGGCUAUAAGGGGCACAGUUGCCUUUCUCUCGUACUAGUAUUGACAUGUGCAGAAUAGUAUGUGGUUGAUGUUUUCAUUUACUUACUUAUUUUUGCCAUGCUAGGGGAGGUCAAACUCAGGGCUUUGUGUAUACCAGAUAAGGCCUCUACUGCCGAGCUACAUCUCCAAUCCUAAAAGGAGAGUGGGCUCUGGAGCAGGGAGGCUUGUGGAGGGGGACACACACACACACAAAGCACCCCUUCUCUGUUCACUGUAGGAACUCCAAACUUUCCUGUCUGUUUCCCAUCAUGCAUUUCCACACUCAGUUCCAAUUUCAUAUUGCUUUAGAGCAGUGGUUCCCAACCUUCCUAAUGCUGUGACCCUUUAGUACAAUUCCUCAUGUUGUGGUGACCCCCAGUCAUAUAAUUACUUUCAUUGAUACUUCAUAACUGUAAUUUUGCUAUUGUUAAUGAAUUGCAGUGUAAAGAUCUGUGUUUUCUGAUGGCCUUAGAUGACCCCUGUGAAAGGUCAUUCAACCCCCAAAGGGGUUGCGACCCACAAGUUGAGACUUGCUGCUUUAGACAGUUCUGUUUCUUCUCCACAUCCUCUGGACUUCUGGAAGAGGACUGUCUUUGAGGGGCUGCCACUUUGGCCCUGACCUGCCCCUACAGAUCCUAGGGACUGUAUGGAGAUUGUUUAGCCAUGGUUCCAAUCAUCUGAGAGCCCCAUUGUAGCACAGGGAACCAUCAAGUCCUUGGCCUUCUGGCCGAUGUCCCAGUUUCCAUCCAUGUGGGGAUUCAGAGCUCAACCCCCGGCACAUCUCCAGGUUCUCUCCUCCUUUCCCAAAGCCUACUUGAAAAAUUUCUAGAAACGAUGUGCCUCUUCCUGGUCACUCUUGCC
rnacentral:lncRNA from 1 species